rnacentral:rRNA from 1 species
AGCGAACGCUGGCGGCAGGCCUAACACAUGCAAGUCGAACGAACUCUUCGGAGUUAGUGGCGGACGGGUGAGUAACACGUGGGAACGUGCCUUUAGGUUCGGAAUAACUCAGGGAAACUUGUGCUAAUACCGAAUGUGCCCUUCGGGGGAAAGAUUUAUCGCCUUUAGAGCGGCCCGCGUCUGAUUAGCUAGUUGGUGAGGUAAAGGCUCACCAAGGCGACGAUCAGUAGCUGGUCUGAGAGGAUGAUCAGCCACAUUGGGACUGAGACACGGCCCAAACUCCUGCGGGAGGCAGAAGUGGGGAAUCUUGCGCAAUGGGCGAAAGCCUGACGCAGCCAUGCCGCGUGAAUGAUGAAGGUCUUAGGAUUGUAAAAUUCUUUCACCGGGGACGAUAAUGACGGUACCCGGAGAAGAAGCCCCGGCUAACUUCGUGCCAGCAGCCGCCGUAA